rnacentral:rRNA from 1 species
GACGAACGCUGGUGGCGUGCUUAACACAUGCAAGUCGAACGGAAAGGCCCUGCUUUUGUGGGGUGCUCGAGUGGCGAACGGGUGAGUAACACGUGAGUAACCUGCCCUUGACUUUGGGAUAACUUCAGGAAACUGGGGCUAAUACCGGAUAGGAGCUCCUGCUGCAUGGUGGGGGUUGGAAAGUUUCGGCGGUUGGGGAUGGACUCGCGGCUUAUCAGCUUGUUGGUGGGGUAGUGGCUUACCAAGGCUUUGACGGGUAGCCGGCCUGAGAGGGUGACCGGCCACAUUGGGACUGAGAUACGGCCCAGACUCCUACGGGAGGCAGCAGUGGGGAAUAUUGCACAAUGGGCGGAAGCCUGAUGCAGCAACGCCGCGUGCGGGAUGACGGCCUUCGGGUUGUAAACCGCUUUCGCCUGUGACGAAGCGUGAGUGACGGUAAUGGGUAAAGAAGCACCGGCUAACUACGUGCCAGCAGCCGCGGUGAUACGUAGGGUGCGAGCGUUGUCCGGAUUUAUUGGGCGUAAAGGGCUCGUAGGUGGUUGAUCGCGUCGGAAGUGUAAUCUUGGGGCUUAACCCUGAGCGUGCUUUCGAUACGGGUUGACUUGAGGAAGGUAGGGGAGAAUGGAAUUCCUGGUGGAGCGGUGGAAUGCGCAGAUAUCAGGAGGAACACCAGUGGCGAAGGCGGUUCUCUGGGCCUUUCCUGACGCUGAGGAGCGAAAGCGUGGGGAGCGAACAGGCUUAGAUACCCUGGUAGUCCACGCUGUAAACGGUGGGUACUAGGUGUGGGGUCCAUUCCACGGGUUCCGUGCCGUAGCUAACGCUUUAAGUACCCCGCCUGGGGAGUACGGCCGCAAGGCUAAAACUCAAAGGAAUUGACGGGGCCCCGCACAAGCGGCGGAGCAUGCGGAUUAAUUCGAUGCAACGCGUAGAACCUUACCUGGGUUUGACAUGGAUCGGGAGUGCUCAGAGAUGGGUGUGCCUCUUUUGGGGUCGGUUCACAGGUGGUGCAUGGCUGUCGUCAGCUCGUGUCGUGAGAUGUUGGGUUAAGUCCCGCAACGAGCGCAACCCUUGUUCACUGUUGCCAGCACGUUAUGGUGGGGACUCAGUGGAGACCGCCGGGGUCAACUCGGAGGAAGGUGGGGAUGACGUCAAGUCAUCAUGCCCCUUAUGUCCAGGGCUUCACGCAUGCUACAAUGGCUGGUACAGAGAGUGGCGAGCCUGUGAGGGUGAGCGAAUCUCGGAAAGUCGGUCUCAGUUCGGAUUGGGGUCUGCAACUCGACCUCAUGAAGUCGGAGUCGCUAGUAAUCGCAGAUCAGCAACGCUGCGGUGAAUACGUUCCCGGGGC